rnacentral:lncRNA from 1 species
AAAAAAACUCAUGGUUGGAAAAGAGGCAAAUAAAUAUCAAAGCUGCAUUUAAGUUUGAUUAAAUGGAGGGUGGUGGGGGUUAGGAAUUGCACACGAGUGUUUCCAGCAGGGGCCAGCAAACUUUCUGUGAAAGACUAGAUAUUUUUGGCUUUGCAGGGCAUCCAGUCUAUUGUAGGUACUCACCUCUGUGGCUGUAGCACAAACACAGCCACAGGCAAUACGUACAUAACUUACAUGUAUUUUUUACAUCAUUCUUAUCACUACAGUAAAUUAAAUAACUUCACGAAUCUAUUAAGAAUGACAACCAAAGAAGGCACAACCCGUUUUGGAAGCCAGUGCUUUAAACUGAGUCUGGCCAGUUAACAUGCAGUGAAGAAGUCGGAGGACGCUUGGCUGCCACCUGGUGGGACAAGGAGAGAGAGGAAAAGGCCAGAUAGAAAUUUCUGGCCAAAUUGUCUUCAAAAAACCAUGGGUCUCCUGUAGAGGCAGUUGCGUGGGGCCUGUGAUCCAGCUCGCCACACUCACCACCCCCCUCUUCACUCUCCGCCCCCCCAAUUCU